UGUACGAAUGUCUAUAUGUAAGCCAAGAGUGUGCGAUUGUGUGUUUGUAUGUAUGUAUAUGCGGUUAGCACAAAAUCCAGCGAGAAAGAAAGAAACAACCAACCAACAACACAGGCACAGCACAGCACGGUCAGGCUAGCGUCUGGCGGCAGUGGCUCGGGGCUCUGGCUCUGUAUGUAUGUACGAGUAUUAACUUCAAAAUAAAGUUCAGUUUAAGCUGGAGCGCAGCGCAGUCGUCGUCGUUUGUUCGUAAUGGUCGGGUCGGGUCCGUUCGGCUAGUUCCUAUAUGUACGCAUGAUACACCAGACACCAGAGCCCACAAAUAGUAGAUACAUGAGUACGGACACAAGAAAGGAACACGGACACGGACGACACGCUGCAAAAGGACACUUCAGGAGAAUAAAACUACCCUAAUAAAAACCCCAAAAAAAAAAAAAAAAAUCACCCGCUCCGCUCCUUCGGCUGGAACGAUAGUUUUAUAAUGCAUGAUAUAGGAGG